rnacentral:rRNA from 1 species
AGCAGCCGCGGUAAUUCCAGCUCCAAUAGCGUAUAUUAAAGUUGCUGCAGUUAAAAAGCUCGUAGUUGAAUUUCGGGAUCAAUAUGUUGGUCGUGCCUUGGUGCGUACUAGUUUAUUGAUUUCUCCCUUCUGACGAACUAUGAUGCCAUUAAUUUGGUGUCAUGGGGAAUCAGGACUGUUACUUUGAAAAAAUUAGAGUGUUUAAAGCAGGCUCACGCUUGAAUACAUUAGCAUGGAAUAAUAAAAUAGGACGUUUGAUUCUAUUUUGUUGGUUUCUAGGAUCGACGUAAUGAUUAAUAGGGAUAGUUGGGGGCAUUAGUAUUCAAUUGUCAGAGGUGAAAUUCUUGGAUUUAUUGAAGACUAACUACUGCGAAAGCAUUUGCCAAGGAUGUUUUCAUUAAUCAAGAACGAAAGUUAGGGGAUCGAAGACGAUCAGAUACCGUCGUAGUCUUAACCAUAAACUAUGCCGACUAGGGAUCGGAUGAUGUUAAUUUUUAAUGA